UCCUUUCCACUAGAAGCGAGGUGUGUACUGCGUGCAUGUUUGCUGAGCGCUCACCACGGGCUAGGCUCCAUGCCCAGUUCCUGUGAGGAGAAAACACGUUUCUAUGUGCCCGGCAGGUAGGAGGCACUCACAAAAUGUUACUUUGUCUUUACAGAAUUUUCUGAAGGAGAGAUAAAAACUGAGUUAAAUAAAGAUGAUCAGAAUGGAUGAGAAAUAACUUUAGACAUUAUUUCAUUGAACCUUCCCAACUGAAAUUAUUUUAUGAUGUUAUAACAUGGAUAGUAACUCAAGUAGCAAUAAGUUACACAGUUGUGCCAUUUGUGCUUCUUUCUAUAAAACCAUCACUCACGUUUUACAGCUCCUGGUAUUAUUGCCUGCACAUUCUUGGUAUCUUAGUAUUAUUGUUGUUGCCAGUG
rnacentral:lncRNA from 1 species